AAGACACUCAUAAUCGAAGACUCUCUUCUUGUUUACGACUAUACGCAACGCGAAGAAAAUGAAACAUUUGACGAUUCGGUGUUUUGUCUUAUUGUCUUUUAUGCUUCUGAUGUCUUACAACAUUGUUCAUACUCAACUGACUACGGAAGGACCUAUACAAUCAAGGCUAGGCAACACCCCACCGUGGCCAGGAAAGAAGAAACGGGACGUUGGAAAAUUUGAUAAAAUAACAGAUGACGAAUUAUUCUUUGACGACGAUUCACAGAAUGAUCACUGAAUGAAGAUUGCUGUUACCGAGUUUUAUGACAUCAUGGAAGUUUUCUAUUUUUGUGUAAUUUGUGAAUGGCGUAAUAAAAAUUAUCAAAAUAA